rnacentral:rRNA from 1 species
UUCCGGUUGAUCCUGCCGGACCCCACUGCUAUCGGGAUAGGACUAAGACAUGCUAGUCGUGUGCCUCAGCCAAAAACGAGGCACCGGCGCACAGCUCAGUAACACGUGGCUAACCUGCCCUUAGGGACGAGAAUAACCCCCGGGGAAACUGGGGCUAAUGCUCGAUAGGUGAAGAACUCUGGAAUGAGUCUUCACUUAAAAGAGUCUGCGUUAUGCUCGUAGAUUUCGCCCAAGGAUGGGGCCGCGACUGAUCAGGUUGUUGGCGAGGUAAUGGCUCACCAAGCCUUUUACCGGUGCGGGCCGUGAGAGCGGGAGCCCGGAGAUGAGCACUGAGACAAGGGCCCAGGCCCUACGGGGCGCAGCAGUCGCGAAAACUUUGCAAUACACGAAAGUGUGACAGGGCUAUCCCGAGUGCCAUCCGCUGAGGAAGGCUUUUACCCAGUCUAAAAAGCUGGGGGGAUAAGGAGAGGGCAAGUCUGGUGUCAGCCGCCGCGGUAAUACCAGCUCUCCGAGUGGUGUGGAUGUUUAUUGGGCCUAAAGCAUCCGUAGCUGGCUAAGUUAGUCCCCUGUUAAAUCCAACGAAUUAAUCGUUGGAUCGCGGGGGAUACUGCUUGGCUAGGGGACGAGAGAGGCAGACGGUAUUUCCGGGGUAGGGGUGAAAUCCUAUAAUCCCGGGAAGACCACCAGUGGCGAAGGCUGUCUGCUAGAACGCGCCCGACGGUGAGGGAUGAAAGCUGGGGGAGCGAGCCGGAUUAGAUACCCGGGUAGUCCCAGCUGUAAACGAUGCAGGCUAGGUGUUUGGACGGCCACGUGCCGUUCUAGUGCCCGCAGGGAAGCUGUUAAGCCUGCCGCCUGGGGAGUACGAUCGCAAGAUUGAAACUUAAAGGAAUUGGCGGGGGAGCACCACAAGGGGUGAAGCUUGCGGUUUAAUUGGAGUCAACGCCGG